GGAUCCCUAACCCACUGUGCAGACCAGGGAUUGACCCUGCUUCCCAGGGCUCCCAAGAUGCCACUGACCCCAAUGCGCCACAGUGAGAACUCCCACAAUGCCACAGUUGAUAGAUAGAUGGUAGCGAUUCCCGGAUAGAUACAUUCAAUUGAGGAAUGUUUUUCUUUGCAUAUUAUACGUAUGUCACUAAUUGAGUGGCUACAUAUGUGUGUGUGUGUGUGUGUGUGUGUGUGUGUGUGUGUGUCCCUUCUCCCCACCGUCCUGUGUCCCUUUGCCCACAGAUAGGACCUCAGCUAGUUGCAGUUUGCUGCGUGGUAGAGUGACUCCACUAAUCGUUCCUGGAGCAUCAGUGGUCCUGCCCGGUCGGGUGUCGUGGCUUUUUGUUAACUUGUGUGCAUGGGAAAGGGGACCCUUGAGGAUCCCCCAGGUCCCAGACGUAGCCCUCCCUGCUCUUGGCUGUAGAGGCCUCCCAGUCAGGCAGCCACUACCUCUCCUCUUUCGUUGCCUGUGGUCUGAGGGGCACGAGAAGCCCAAACAGCCGAGUGGAGGUUUUAGCUUCAAAGGCGAUGAAAACUGUGUGGCUUUCCUUCCCCUGAGAACUCAGGUCUCCACACCAGCAGAGGCCAGCGCUGCAGGGACGUGAAGCGAAAUUUUCCUGAGUGGGUGCGGUAGCCUGAGUCAUGACCAGCCAAAGACGCCAGGUCCGCAUCUCUGGAAUUUGGAAAAUGUCACCUUAAAAGGAAAAAGGAUUUUUGCAGACGUGAUUAGGUGAAUGACCUUGACAUGGGGAGAUUCUCCUGGGCGACCGGGGCCCUAAACCCCAUUGCCAGUGUCCCUUUAAGAAACAGGCAGGAGGAGAGCUCACACACGGAAGAGGAGGAGGAACAGUGAAGACAGAAGCAGAGGUUGGAGUAAUGGGGCCGAAGGAACACCAACGGCCACCCAGCUGGAGGAGUCACGGCACAGGUUCCUCCCUAGAGUUUUAGGAGGAGUGCAGCCCUGCUGGUACCUCGAUUUAGGCUCAGUGAGGCUGAUGCGGAACUCCUGGCCUCCAGAACUCUAGGAGAAUAAAUUCUGUUCAGUCACCAAGUAUGUAGCAAUUUGUUGUGGCAACCACAGUGAACUAAUACUGGCGGCUAGGGAGAUGCCACGCCACCUACCUUCCUUUGAUUCCUGGCGCCUUAAAUGCCGGCUGUCAAUGAGGAUGCGGCGUUCCCAUUGUGUCUCAGCGGAAAUGAAUCUGAUUAGUAUCCACGAGGACACGGGUUCGAUCCCUGGCCUCACUCAGUGGGUUAAGGAUCCAGCAUUGCUGUGAGCUGUGCAAAGGAGCGACUGCUGUAAGAUGGGGCUUUAGAAAGAGGCAGGAGUCAAGGUUUAUGAGAUCCACGAAUCUUUCCAAAGAGGCAGGGCUUACCAGUGAGGACAAUGGGGAGUCAGUCCAAGAUUUAGGAGUUCCCUGGUGGCUCAGUGGGUUGGGGAUCUGGUGAAGUCACUGCCGUAGCUCUGGUUGCUGCUAUGGCAGGGCUUUGACCCCUGGCCUGGGAAUUUCUGCAUGCAGCCAGCACAGCUGGGGAAAAAAAAUCUUGACCCGGGAUCAAAUCAGGGUAGACUUGCCCUUUGGAAUAUUUUCUUUGGAGGAUGGAAGACGGAUUUGAGGGAGCAAGCCUGGCCGCAGGGAGACCAGCUAGGAGAUGCUGCAGUAACCUGAGCAGGAGAUGCUGGUAACCUAGACCCGUCCCAACCCGGCGUUUCACUAAUUGAGCAAAUGCGUGUGAAGCGCCUGCUGUAUGUCAGAGCCUGGCUCAGCACAACGUACAGGAGGAUCAGAUGCAGGAGACCCAGUUAUGGCCCUGAGGUCAUCCAGCCCCUGGGGAAAACAGAUGCACCAUUAUCCAAAGCACGUGCCACUCUUUAGCUGCUAAGUUUGUCUGACUCAGCAAGGAGGGUUUGCAGGUGGCUACGGGAGUCCCCAAACUGUCAACAAAUAUGGCCUUGAUAGCAGGUAUGAUUUUAGCUUGGUGUGUCACUUAUCUAUUGCCACGUGACAGCUCACCCGACACCUUAGCAGCGUAAAACAACAGCGGUUUUACUUUGUCUUAAUUCUGCGGGUCAGCAGUUUGGGCUGCUCUCAAAUUCUGAGCGGUUCUGCUGCUCUCACCUGGAAUCGCUGAUGUGGUUGCACUCCUCCGGCCUCUUGGCUGGGACUGGUUCUGCUGAGGUGACCUCACCCACGUGUCGGGUUUGGUGCUGGCUGUCAUGCAUGGGCAGGAUGGCCCGUCUCUGCUCUGUGGGGCUUUUCACCCUCCAGAAGGUUUGACUGGGCUUCUUCACACGGCAAGGGGGCCAGAGCAGACAUGAUGUGGCCUCUUGAGGCCCUGGCUCGGAAGCUGUACCGAGCAGCCUGGGGCUGCCAUGCAGCAAGGGCUCAGCUCACCGGGAUCUGGGGGGCUCGGCUUCUGUUAUAGUUCUUACAGUCUUGCAAACCAAAGACAACCAUGCAGCGUCUUUCCCAACAUUAGCACUUGUCUCUCCUCUGCCGUCAUCCCAGCCCCUGCACAAGGC
rnacentral:lncRNA from 1 species